rnacentral:rRNA from 1 species
UACGAAGGGAGCUAGCGUUGUUCGGAAUCACUGGGCGUAAAGCGCACGUAGGCGGAUGUGUCAGUCAGGGGUGAAAUCCCGGGGCUCAACCUCGGAACUGCCUUUGAUACUGCAAGUCUUGAGUCCGGAAGAGGUGAGUGGAAUUCCUAGUGUAGAGGUGAAAUUCGUAGAUAUUAGGAAGAACACCAGUGGCGAAGGCGGCUCACUGGUCCAGUACUGACGCUGAGGUGCGAAAGCGUGGGGAGCAAACAGG